rnacentral:rRNA from 1 species
AUUGAACGCUGGCGGCAUGCCUAACACAUGCAAGUCGAACGGUGACGCGGGGGCAACCCUGGCGACGAGUGGCGGACGGGUGAGUAAUACUUAGGAAUCUGCCUAAUAGUGGGGGACAACCCGAGGAAACUCGGGCUAAUACCGCAUACGACCUACGGGAGAAAGCGGGGGACCGUAAGGCCUCGCGCUAUUAGAUGAGCCUAAGUCCGAUUAGCUAGUUGGCGGGGUAAUAGCCCACCAAGGCGACGAUCGGUAGCUGGUCUGAGAGGAUGAUCAGCCACACUGGGACUGAGACACGGCCCAGACUCCUACGGGAGGCAGCAGUGGGGAAUAUUGGACAAUGGGCGCAAGCCUGAUCCAGCAAUGCCGCGUGUGUGAAGAAGGCCUGCGGGGUUGUAAAGCACUUUCGGUUGGG